AUACGGAGGGUGCAAGCGUUACUCGGAAUCACUGGGCGUAAAGCGCGCGCGGGCGGGCUGAUAAGUUGGAUGUGAAAGCCUACGGCUCAACCGUAGAACUGCAUCCAAAACUGUCAGUCUAGAGUGUGGGAGAGGAAGAUGGAAUUAGUUGUGUAGGGGUAAAAUCCGUAGAGAUAACUAGGAAUACCAAAAGCGAAGGCAAUCUUCUGGAACACUACUGACGCUGAGGCGCGAAGGCGUGGGGAGCAAACAGGAUUAGAAACCCGGGUAGUCC
rnacentral:rRNA from 1 species